rnacentral:rRNA from 1 species
AUGGCUGCCGUCGCGGGCCAGCUCAGGGAGCUCGGGGACAAGCUCGGCUCCGAGCCGCCGGCCGAGGCCGAGGCGCUCGCCAAGCUCCUCGAGCAAGCUGCGGAGUGCCUACAUGUAAUAGAACAGUCACCAGGGUCGUCGGUGAUGGAAGCUAUCCAACCAUGUCUAACAGCAGUUGUCAGAAAAGAAUUGCUGAAACAUCAGGAUCAAGAUGUUAAAGUUCUCUUGGCAACCUGCUUCUGUGAAAUUACAAGAAUAACUGCACCUGAAGCUCCAUAUAGUGAUGAUGUUUUAAGGGUAACCCUGUGCUCACAAAAAGUGCUGAAUCAAAUUACUUUGACUGAGCUUACAAUGUUUGUUCAGUAUUUGAGUAUUCUUUUUUCUUUCUUGCAGACCAUAUUUCGUCUGAUUGUUGGUACAUUUGGUGGACUCGCUGAUGUUAAUAGCCAUUACUUUAGCAGGAGAGUUGCUAUUCUGGAAACAGUUGCAAGAUACCGGGCAUGUGUUGUGAUGUUGGACCUUGAAUGCAAUGAUCUCAUCACAGACAUGUUCCAAACUUUUUUAGAAAUCGUCAGUGAAAAUCAUGAAACAAAUGUUGUGAAAUCAAUGCAGACAAUUAUGGCCCUUAUUAUAGAAGAGAGCGAGGUUAUACAUCAAAGCCUUCUACAUGUACUGUUAUCAGCUUUAGGCCGUAAAAAAACUGGUAUUUCUUUAUCUGCACGUAAGCUGGCUCGGGGUGUUAUAGAGCAAUCUGCAGGAAAACUCGAACCAUACAUAAAGAAGUUUCUUACAUCAUCCUUGGCUGGGGCCAACAGUUCUGCAAAUGGCCACAUUGAUCACCACGAGGUCAUAUUUGAUGUGUAUCAGUGUGCUCCAAGGGUUCUUAAAGUGGUGGUGCCUUAUAUAACUGGGGAACUACUGGCAGAUGAAGUAGAAAUGCGGUCUAAAUCAGUUGAGUUGCUGGGGGAACUUUUUUCUUUACCUGGAGUCCCUGUAUUGGAAUCUUUUAAGUCUCUUUUCAUUGAGUUCCUGAAGAGAUUGACUGACAGAGUGGUAGAAAUACGUCUUUCUGUGAUUGAGCAUUUAAAGAAAUGUCUAAUCUCAAACCAUUCCCGUCCUGAAGCUCCUGAGGUUAUCAAGGCACUUUGUGACAGACUGUUGGAUUACGAAGAAAAUGUACGAAAACAAGUUGUGGCUGCUGUUUGUGAUGUAGCUUGCCAUGAAUUUGGUGCUGUGCCAAUUGAAACUAUCAAACUAGUAGCCGAGCGUGUCCGUGAUAAAUCGCUUCCAGUGAAGUGCUACACCAUGGAGCGAUUGGCUGAUAUCUACAAGCUGUAUUGCCUGAAGGGUUCUGAUAGCUCGACUAAUUCUGAUAAUUUUGAGUGGAUACCUGGAAAAAUAUUGAGAUGCAUUUAUGACAAAGAUUUUAGGCCUGAGUCAAUUGAAUCAGUCCUAUGUGGUUCAUUAUUUCCACCAGAGUUUCCGACAAAGGAAAGAGUGAAACAUUGGGUAAUUGCUGCCACACAUUUUGAUAAAGUUGAGAUGAAAGCUCUUGAACAGAUUCUUCUGCAGAAGCAAAGACUACAACAAGAAAUGUUGAAGUACAUGUCCCUUCAACAGAUAAGCCAGGAAGAUGCAGCUGAUGUGCAAAAAAGAAUCUUGGGAUGUUUCCGGAGCAUGUCCCGUUUGUUCAGUGAUGCGGUAAAGGCUGAGGAGUACUUGAACAUGCUUCAUCAGCUGAAAGAUGAAAAUAUCUGGAAAAUGUUCACAAGUUUGCUUGAUUGCGCAACAACAUUCAAUAAUGCUUGGUCUAUUCGGGUUGAUUUGCUCAAGUCACUUGGUGAAAAACAUGAACUGUAUGAUUUUGUCAGCACACUAUCAAUGCGAUGUUCGUAUCUACUUGUGAAUAAGGAAUAUGUCAAAGAGAUCCUGUCUGCAGCUUCUGAGCAAAAAUCUAUUGGGAAUACAAAACUCAUCUCAUCAUGCAUGGAUCUUCUGACGGCAAUAUCUAGUUUCUUCCCUUCACUUUUAUCUGGAUUCGAAGAAGAUAUCAUUGAACUUCUGAAGGAGGAUAAUGAAGUUCUUAAAGAGGGUAUUGCUCAUGUUUUGUCCAAAGCUGGUGGUAACAUUCGUGAACAACUGGCCUCAUCAAGCUCUGUUGCUCUUCUGUUAGAGCGGCUAUGUUUAGAGGGCACAAGGAAGCAGGCUAAAUACUCUGUUCAUGCUUUAGCCGCUAUAACUAAAGAUGAUGGUCUGAUGGCACUAUCUGUUCUUUACAAGAGGCUUGUGGAUUUGUUGGAGGAGAAGAAAGUUCAUUUACCUUCUAUCUUGCAAUCUUUGGGGUGUAUAGCUCUGAUAGCGAUGCCAAUUUUCGAAACAAGGGGGGAAGAGAUAAUAAGUUUCAUAACCAAAAAGAUUCUUGACUGCAGUGAUGAUAUGGCUAAAGUUUCCGCUGACAAAUCUGAAUGGGGUGAUAGUUCACAUAGUUGUUUGCUCAAGAUUUAUGGCAUUAAAACUUUGGUGAAGAGCUGUCUACCUUGCAAAGAUGCUCAAGUGCAUCCUGGAAUAGAAAAAUUAAUGGACAUCCUUAAGAGCAUUCUUACAUAUGGUGAUAUUUCCCCAAACAUGAUAUCAAGUGCUAGUGAUAAGGCCCAUUUGAGGCUGGCUGCAGCGAAAGCUGUUCUCCGCUUAUCAAGACAGUGGGACCAUAAAGUGCCUGUUGAUGUGUUUUAUUUGACUCUAAGGAUUUCACAGGAUGAUUUCCCUCAAAUGAGGAAGUUGUUUCUCAGUAAAGUACAUCAAUACAUCAAGGAGAGGGCUUUGGACGCAAAAUAUGCCUGCGCCUUCUUGAUAGGCAUAGACGAUUAUCAUACACCACAGUACGAAGAGUUCCAACACAACCUGAUCGAAGUGUCACAAAUAUGCCAACAAGUUAAGAUGCGUCAACUAUCUGUCCAAGCGGAUGUGAAUUUGCUCACAGCUUACCCAGAAUAUAUUAUUCCAUAUCUGGUUCAUGUCCUUGCUCAUGAUCCUUCAUGCCCUAACAUUGAGGAAUAUGAGGAUGUCAAAGCUUUUGCUCCAAUUUACUGGCCAUUGCAUCUACUUCUUUCAACCCUCCUGGGAGAAGAAGGUUUGCAGUAUAGUGUACCUGGUAUGAAAAAGGAGAGCUUCAUGACAACAUUAUCUAUAUUCAGAAGCAUCAAAUGUUCAAAAGACGUGGUCGAUGCAAAUAAGACCAAGACUGUACAUGCUAUAUGUGAUCUUGGUAUUCUUAUUGCAAAGAGGUUAUGUCCGGACCAGAUAAAUGUAUCAGAAAAUCAGACGGUUCCAUUGCCUGCACAACUUUAUGCAACAGUUCAGAAUGACCAAAAUGAAAACCCUGUGGAGAAUGAUGAACAGAAGUGGUUGGGAUGUGAGACUGUACUGUCCCAUUUCGAGGCUCUUAUGACAGCAAAUGUUGCUGAGGUUCAAUCUCCCGAAGAUAAGAUGCUCAUAGAUGAGACUGAUGAAUUUGGUAAUGAGAUCCCUCUAGGGAAAAUUGUCCAAAUUCUUAAAUCCCGAGGAGCAAAAAAGACAGGGGGGAAACAGAAGGCAGCAUCUGUUCCAGUAAAUACUGGAAAAGAUGAUGAUGUCUUGGGUUUGUUAAGAGAAAUAAACUUAGAUAACCAGGACAAUUUGGGGGAGUCGGUGAAGAGCAAACCAAAGAAGCCGCAGAUGGAUAUGAAAGAGAGCAACGAGAAGCCAGUAGAUUUUUCGGCACCAAAACGCAAAAGAUCAGUUUCUAAGAGUAGACCACAUUCAGGAAAAGGCAGUAAAGACGGUGACGAGCUUUUAGUGCAUUCUGCUAGCAAAGGAAAACCCAGUGAUUCCUUAGAAAACAAGUUGAAGGAGAAAAGAAGAGCUGACUCAAAUGAUAAAGACUUGGUAGCAUCACCUACCAGUACCAAAACCCCUGUAUCCAAAGGGAAAAAGGAUGCUAAGUCCCAUACUGAAGUCUCGCGUAGCAGUGCAAAGAAGUAUGCUGAUGAGGACAAUACUAUGAGAGCUGCUGAACUGGCUAGUCUAAAUGGGUCCUUCAAAAGACAGAAGCCAAGACUGGUUUCUGGUUUAGCGAAGUGUUCAACGCAUGACUCAAGCAGUAAAGACUUGGUAGGACGUAGAAUAAAAGUUUGGUGGCCUUUGGAUAAGGAAUUUUAUCCAGGUGUCGUGAAAUCUUAUGAUUCAGCAAAGACGCUACACACAGUCUUAUAUGAUGACGGAGAUAUGGAGCAGCUUAACAUGGCUAAAGAAAAGUGGAAAAUGAUUGAAAGUAAUGGUUCACCAAUGAAGCAGCAAAAGAAGGAUCAUGCAGGUUCAAAUCAAGGACGAGCACAAGAGACGAAAUCUACCAGCAGCACGAAAGUUCCAGCUAACCAACAUAAGUCAAUAAAGACAGCACAGGAGACGAAAUCUACCAGCAGCACGAAAGUUCCAGCUAACCAACAUAAGUCAGUAAAGACAGCACAGGAGAUGAAAUCUACCAGCAGCACGAAAGUUCCAGCUAACCAACAUAAGUCAAUAAAGACGCCCUCACCUCUAAAGAGGAAAGGAAAACCAAAAGCGCCGCCGGAAAACAAGCGUAGAAAGACAUCAGGAGGUAGCAAGUCCAUCGAAGCUACCAGCGAAGCUGGCGUUAAUGAUUCAGAUUCAGCCAGUUCUCUCGCUCAUUCAGAUUCUGACAAAGAUGUAAAAUCAGAUGGCGAGAAGGAUAAAGAGGUAGCAGUUGGCUCAGCUGGGAAAGAAAAAACAGGAAAAACAGAGAAAGAGUCUGCAGAAGAUAUGGAGCUGGAAGAGAAAAAACCUGACGGCGACAGUUUGAGCUGCAAGGAGGAAUCUGACGAUGAAACUCUUAGUGUCUGGAAAAAGCGCGCGUCGCAAGCAACAUAG